AUCAGGUAGUUGGUUGGGUAAAGGCCUACCAAGCCUAUGACGGGUAGCUGGUAUAAGUGUAUGACCAGCCAGAGGGGCACUGAGAUACGGGCCUCACCCCUACGGGGGGCAGCAAUCGGGAAUUUUGCGCAAUGGACGAAAGUCUGACGCAGCGACGCCGCGUGAAGGAUUAAGGCCUUCGGGUUGUAAACUUCGUUGUAAGCACCGGCUAACUACGUGCCAGCAGCAGCGGUCAUACGUAGGGUGCAAGCAUUACCCGGUCUUAUUGGGCGUAAAGAGUUCUGUAGGCGGUUGAAUAAGUUGGAAGUUAAAUAUCUCGGCUUAACCGAGACAAGGCUUUCAAUACUAUUUGACUUUGAGGUGACUAGGGGGUAGCGGAACGCAUGGUGUAGCAGUGAAAUGCGUUGAUAUCAUGCGGAACACCAAGGGGGAAGCCAGCUACCUGGGGUUAUCCUGACGCUGAGAGACGAAAGCGUGGGGAGCGAAACGGAUUAGAUACCCGUGUAGUCCACGCUGUAAACCAUGCCUGCUAGAUGCUCCGCUUUUGUGGGGUGUCGAAGCUAACGCGUAAGCAG
rnacentral:rRNA from 1 species